GGCUGGUCCAAUGGUAGUGGGUUAUCAGAAUUUAUUAACAUUAGUGUCACUAAAGUUGGUAUACAACCCCCCCACUGCUAUAUUUGACUGGCUAAAA
rnacentral:Y_RNA from 1 species